rnacentral:rRNA from 1 species
UACGGGGGGGGCAAGCGUUGUUCGGAAUUACUGGGCGUAAAGGGCUCGUAGGCGGCCAACUAAGUCAGACGUGAAAUCCCUCGGCUUAACUGGGGAACUGCGUCUGAUACUGGAUGGCUUGAAUCCGGGAGAGGGAUGCGGAAUUCCAGGUGUAGCGGUGAAAUGCGUAGAUAUCUGGAGGAACACCGGUGGCGAAGGCGGCAUCCUGGACCGGCAUUGACGCUGAGGAGCGAAAGCCAGGGGAGCAAACGGG